UUUUCGUCAUUUUACUAUUCAUCAUCUCCAUCCUCUUCUUCUCCUCCACCGAAACCAUCACCAGCACCUCUCUUGACCCGAAUUCAAAGCUUUAAUACCAUUUCUCCCCACCUUUUCAAAGAUGCUUUUUCAGUUUCCAUACAACACUAAAAAUCACCAUGACCCAGAAACUAAACCACAAUGCUCUCUCUGUCCAGAACAAGCAGAGAGAAAUUCUGAAAAACUUGAAGCAAAUUUUUUUUUUUUUUUUUCACAAAAACACAAUUAUCAUCAUUGGGGAUCAAUUCGCCAUUCCCCAUCAACAAUGAAUUUGAUCUCAUAUCUACCCGGAUACAACUUAAGGCUAACAGAGAAGAUUCCUGUACUCGACCUCUCCAUCUUUCUCUGGGUAGCCCAACCAUCAUAUGAUCCUGCUAAAAGCACUUCUGAGGCUGGAUUGGUCCAAACUAUUAAAGCAGUUCGAAGAAGCUGUAAGGCUCUACAGAGAAACGCGGAUCUUGGCGCCGACGUCACCCAAGACCCGGAGCUCGACCCGGUCGUUGAGGGAGGCAUCGCAGAUUAAAUAGGCGGCGUCGGCCUGAAUGAGAUUGGCGCGAUCGACGGCGAUGGUGGCGACGACCUGCCUGACGCUGUGGGCCUGCUGGAAGAAGCCGGGGACGGAGGCCUUGCCCAAAGGGAUGCCGCGGUACAUGACAGUGAACCUGGACUUGCCGUACUUGAUUCCGACCUUGUUGGGGUUCUCGGUGGAGAAGAGCAGGCGAAUGUUGAGGGAGAGAGAGGCGGAGGAGGCCGGGUUCGGGUCGGUGGUGGGAUUGGAAGCUUGUUUUUCCUGAUGUGCAAGAGAGGUGCUGGUGAUGGUUUCAGUGGAGGAGAAGAAGAGGAUGGAGAUGAUGAAUAGUAAAAUGACGAAAAUAUCCUUCAAAAGUUAACUCUGUUAACGAUUUUACUGUUGCUAGGUACGGAAAUUGGGUCGGAUUCAGACACUCAGGUACCAUUUUGAUAUUUUUUGAAGUAUAGGUAUGAAAAUUAAUAGUCUGAAAAAGUUCAGACACCGUUUGGACGAUUUUCCCUAGAAUUUAUGGAUUUUGAUGGAGUCUUUUUGUUGGCCCAAGACCAAAAGAAUGAAAAAAAAAAAAAAAAAAGGAAAUCGAGACAAGAGGUGGAAAGUGAGAGCACUCAGAGCAGAGAGUGUAGUGUACCCAGUAAAGCUGGCACCGAGCUCCCAAGCAAAACUUCCCAAUUCGAUCCUAGCAAUGGCCAAAUCGAAAUCCCUUUCGGUUUCAGAUGAGGCAAACGAUACCCGUGAAGGUCCUUAUCCAUGCAAACCAUAUCGCUUUGUGUAUCUUGGCAAGUCCCCACUUCCGCUUCGAUAGCCAAUUUUAUCAGCUUUCCAUCGACAAUCGAUUUGUGUAACUUGGAAAGUCUCAUUUUGAAUCUCAAAAGUUGCAACAGUGCCAGAUGAAUGCUUUUAAGAGCCAAUUUUAUCAGCUUCCUGUCGACAAUCGAUUUCAUUUUGUUCUAUUCAAUGUGUUUGCUCAAAGCUAGCCUAACGAGUUCCAGUUCCAAGAUUUGGUAUUUUGUGGUAAUAGACUUUGAGGCUGCAUGUGAUAAGGAUAGAAAUCCGGAUCCUCAAGAGAUAAUUGAGUUUCCAUAUGUGAUUGUGAGUUGACUGGCCAACUGGAACCAUGUUUCCAGACUUAUGUGCGGCCAACCUGCAAUCAUCUACUGAGUGAUUUCUAUAAGGAUCUGACAGGCAUACAGCAAAUUCAGGAGGAUCAUGUAAAGCGUGUAGAGAAUCUUGUGAAACAACUUGCACCACCAAUUUUUAAGGUUCACUACACUAAAGAACAAGAUAGUUUUGCAAUUUCAUAUGAAUGUGGCAAAAACCAAAGCAGCAACUAUCAAGAAGCAAUGCAGCAAUUAUCAAGUAAAAAUGUGAUGUGUUCAAAUAAAAAAAGACUGCUGCAUCUUUAAAUAUUGCAUAAGAAAAUCAUCGAACAAUUUAUGAAGGCCAAAAAUGUUAAGUUCUGAAAGUUUCUCCUACGAGACACAUGUUACCAGAUUUUUGUGAUAAUUGAAUAGAAUAACAUAAUUCAGGAACAAGAACAGUACGAGGGAGAUCAUAAUAGAAUAGAGAAUAGGAAAGUUAAAUCUUAUUCAACUAUUUACUUCUAGAAAUUCUCUGUAACAUGGUUGUAAUAUGUGAGAUUGUGUUUCUUUCAGUAGAAAAGUUUAAACUUCAAAUCUCUCAAAACUCGUGUUGCAGGCUUUGGUUUUGAGACAUGGUUCUUUAUAUGUAUUGCUCCCAAGGGAUUAGAUCAUGAGACAUGGUCCUGUAAUACACAAUGCAAACUGUGGCUUGUUUCUAUGA